rnacentral:lncRNA from 1 species
AUGUUCCCCUUCAGAGGGACAGAGCAGAACAAAAGCACCACUUCACAUUUCUUGCAGCUAAAUAACUUUUUUUUUUUUUUUUGCAGUCCUUCAAGUUUAUCCUUCCCUAAAUCCCCUGCCUGUGUAUUCUUUCCUUGUCUUAGCUUCAACCACUCCCCCAGGAACACUUCCCAAGAGCCCAUUUCCCAUUACCAAGAUUAUUUCCCUUUUCAUCACUAUCUCCUUGAGGUCCUGCUGGUUGGCACCAUCCCCCUGUGCCUCCAGAUCUCUGUCCCUCCCUUACCACAUCCAGCAGCCCCUGAGCUUGCCCCUGCUUUGGAGAAACACGAGAUCCCGACACCAGCGAUGUGGGAACAGCGAUUCCAGGGAUGCUGUUGUGUUCCUGACUGCGUUGGAGUUUGUGGGUUACAGAUGGAAGCAAAAAGCAACUCUGAAAGCAGGACACAGCAGCCUUCAGCAGGGAGAAGGAUGUGUCAGCUCAGUGACCACCUCUCUGGUCCCCACUCAGAGCCAGCCGGUUUGGGGAACAAAAGCAGAAGGGGGAACACAGCUAAAAGAAACUAAACAAAAUAUCUAGGCAAGUCAAACACAGCAAGUAAUACCCCAAGUAAUAAACAAAUUUGAUAGUGUUGGUGGUUUUGAUUU